CUUUAAGGUUGUUUUUGGAUCUACNACCCGCCGCUGUAAGUACAUGCCUAAUACAUGCAGUCGAGCGAACGAGAAGGAGCUUGCUCCUUUGACGUAGCGGCGGACGGGUGAGUAACACGUGGGCAACCUACCUAUAGUGGGAUAACUCCGGGAAACCGGGGCUAAUACCGAAUAAUCUAUUUUACUUCAUGGUGAAAUACUGAAAGACGGUUUCGGCUGUCGCUAUAAGAUGGGCCCGCGGCGCAUUAGCUAGCUGGUGAGGUAACGGCUCACCAAGGCAACGAUGCGUAGCCGACCUGAGAGGGUGAUCGGCACACUGGGACUGAGACACGGCCCAGACUCCUACGGGAGGCAGCAGUAGGGAAUCUUCCGCAAAUGGACGAAAGUCUGACGGAGCAACGCCG
rnacentral:rRNA from 1 species